rnacentral:lncRNA from 1 species
CCUUGUUUAUACAUCAACGCGUAGUAAAAAAAAGGAAUAUUCCUGCCAAAUCUCAUAGAAUUCUAUUAACGCGUUUGGCCGUGAAUGCGUUACAUACAUAUAGGCCUACUGACAGACAAAAUAAAAUUCGAGUUAAAGCAUAGACCUCACUGCGUUCGGUCAAUUACAGCAACAAUGUCUCGGGAUGUAUCACCUUGUUGAAGGCCAGUUAUUUUCUUUUUUAAUCAUUUCCUCUAUCUUAUAGUCAAUUUAUUUUGAGUUUUGUAUAUAUCUGUAUUACGUACAGUUAAAUAAUUAGAUAGAUAGAUUAAAUAGCAUCCACCGCCCACCUAAAAAGAGGGAUCUGGAACUUGUCAAAAAAUCUAAAUGGUCGCACAAAAAAGACACAGCCCACAGUAACAAAUACACAGGACACAGGGAAUAUGCCAUUCAUGUGAAGUAAUGUUGAAUGUACUCUUCCUUUGAGUAAAAAGCACUUUUAGAGAAAUCUAUCUUUAAUUAAUUACAGUAAUAAAAACCGGAUGCAAAGUGUAUUGGCAGAUACAAACUACUCAUACUACACAGAACUAGAAAUAUUCUAUUCAUUAAUUUUGAGGAUGAUAUGACGCAAACAUCCACUCUUCCCUUCAGUACUACUAUACUCGGAACUCAGCAUCCUCAGCAUAAGACAGAUUUACAUUCACAGACUUGUAACAUUCACCAGAAAGAACCCACAAUUCUUCAUCAAUUUGAAUCACCCGCAAGGAAUACGCAGAAGGAACAUGGACUUGGACUAGACAUUCCCAGGAUGACAACAUCAGCUCCUCAGAGGUAAUGAUUUUUAUUCGAUUUCAUGUGAUGAAAGAGCAGAAUGUGACGGAAUUGGUGUUUUCUUCAUCAUCUACUACCGUCUAUGGACAUUCUGAAUAUGGUACCUAGGCUACCUAUCUGUGAAAAACACCCACCUGGACAAAAAUCCUUAUGGUAAUUCGAAAUACUUUGUUGAACAAAUUCAAUGAAAACCAAUGUAAGAGAUUGGAUGACUUUUGAAAAGGUUCAGUUAUGAAAGGAGUCGCCGGAGCUCUGCCUGCCAUGAAAAUCGCCACUCACCAAAAAAAUGGUCGGUUUUUACGGACGCUACCAAUGUGGAACAGUGAAAGACAUACUGGGUCUAUUCCUAUUUUACAUCCAUCAAUUUUUGGCAGCACUGAACCCGUAUUCCUCUUAGUUUGUAGUAACAUUAAAAAGGCUGACAAGUAAAUAGUCCUAUUUAAAGUGUUCAUUAUAAGAGUUAUCAUUAGUUUUAGUAAUAUUCUUAGAUUGGGGAAUUUCAUCAUAUUCAGGGAAUCAAAUUUUUUAUGAAAACAUAAUGCUAAUAUCAUUUUUUCUUAAAUCUGCUGGUAUUCAACUGAAUUGGAAACAAAAUUAAGAUAUUUAUAGGCUCAGAUUUGAUAUGCUCAGAUCAGAGAAGGUGGUCAAUUCGCAUUAUCUAUUUUAUAGGUUAGUAAUUCUAAUAUUAUUAAUUAUCAUCAUCCUGGCUCUACUCAACAGAAAAAUUCUAUUGACCGAACCGUUGACUGCUUGACCAGUUACUUGAAAUUGAUGAAUAAAAUGGAAUACUAUUUAUUACUUAUACAAACGUUAAUAUUAUAUUGAAAUAAAAUGAUUAUUUAUAUUGAUUAUUUUUUAUAUUUAAUUUGAAUAUGGUGGUGGAUUUCCGCGAGUAAAACCUUGUACACACGUCUGUACAGAUUCGCGCGAACAAUUGUAUGUACACAUGCCUCGGCAUUCACUGUACGUCCUUGUGGACGCAUUCCACGUAUGCCUUGGCAUUCAAAAAGCUAUCUG